GGGUGGCUUAGUGGUUAUUUCGUCCACCUCAGAUGUGGGAGGCCAUGGGUUCAAAACUCAGCUGAGUCA